rnacentral:rRNA from 1 species
GACGAACGCUGGCGGCGUGCCUAAUACAUGCAAGUAGAACGCUGAAGAGAGGAGCUUGCUCUUCUUGGAUGAGUUGCGAACGGGUGAGUAACGCGUAGGUAACCUGCCUUGUAGCGGGGGAUAACUAUUGGAAACGAUAGCUAAUACCGCAUGACCUCGCAAGAGCAAAGUGGGGGACCUUCGGGCCUCACGCCAUCGGAUGUGCCCAGAUGGGAUUAGCUAGUAGGUGAGGUAACGGCUCACCUAGGCGACGAUACAUAGCCGACCUGAGAGGGUGAUCGGCCACACUGGGACUGAGACACGGCCCAGACUCCUACGGGAGGCAGCAGUAGGGAAUCUUCGGCAAUGGGGGCAACCCUGACCGAGCAACGCCGCGUGAGUGAAAAAGGUUUUCGGAUCGUAAAGCUCUGUUGUAAGUCAAGAACGAGUGUGAGAGUGGAAAGUUCACACUGUGACGGUAGCUUACCAGAAAGGGACGGCUAACUACGUGCCAGCAGCCGCGGUAAUACGUAGGUCCCGAGCGUUGUCCGGAUUUAUUGGGCGUAAAGCGAGCGCAGGCGGUUUGAUAAGUCUGAAGUUAAAGACUGUGGCUCAACCAUAGUUGGCUUUGGAAACUGUCAAACUUGAGUGCAGAAGGGAGAGUGGAUUCCAUGUGUAGCGGUGAAAUGCGUAGAUAUAUGGAGGACACGGUGGCGAAAGCGGCUCUCUGUCUGUAACUGACGCUGAGCUCGAAGCGUGGGGAGCGAACAG